UAGCUCAGUUGGUAAAGAAUCUGCCUGCAAAGCAGGAGACCCUGGUUCAAUUCCUGG
rfam:TPA: Bos taurus chromosome 1, whole genome shotgun sequence.